rnacentral:snoRNA from 1 species
AAGACUGUGCUUUCGGCAAUUGUUUCUAUAGUUGGUAACUAAAGAAAUGUAGCUGAAAAUGUUUGGCCUUGGUAGCCAUGAGGAUGAGUGAUAGUGUUCUCUUCUGAGCACGAAGUGAGCAGACAGUGUUGCUUUAAUGUCGUUGUUGUCUGCUGUUGAUGAUUGUUCUUUCUUUCCUAUUAGGAAACUAGAGGAAGAGAGCACAGGCUGAGUGG